GGCGCUAUGGCCGAGUGGUUAAGGCGAGAGAUUAGAACGACCCGUUCAAUCAUUCAGCGUAUCUCUUCCGGUUUCCGGGCGCAGGUUCAAAUCCUGCUGGCGUCG